GUCCAGCUGUGACAGGAAAACAAACAUCUGCCUGUCCAGAGCCCACAAAGGAACAACAUGAACCUGAACGCACCAGCAAACACAGAUUCAUCCAACGAUACACUUUUCAUGUCUGACGAUGAAACGGAGACUGGUCUGGACUAAGCAGCCAGCAUGUCCGACAAUCUGAAUGGAUCGGCUACCUCUACUGAUCAAUCGGUGAAUCAAUCCAUCAGCUGAUUACUUAAUCCAUUGGUGCCAGACGUGGGCGGGACAUAACAAGAAAGAAUAUUGCUCAGUUUCCCUUCCAAGUACCUGCAUGUUAUACAGCAUUGGAAAGCUAAGAUUAUUAAGAUGUGAACGAUGUAUACAAACCCAGGCUAAAAUCAAAUUAAAACUGUAGAUUCCGUAAACACCUCUUUCAGACCAGUCGCCAAUGCAGUUUAUCUUUAAAGCCAUACUGUACUCCAGAUGCAGAUGAUGCUGCAGGAAA